GCCGCUGCUGCCGUCCUCCUUCUCUGCUUCGGGACCUCGGCGUGGGGCCGUCAUGCGUGGCAAGGCCUGACCCUGCAGACAAGGUUUGACUUGGAGAGAUGGGGAUGGAAGAAGAGGUUAGAGAUGGCAGAAACAGGGAUGAAAGAAGGGACAGAGAUGACUGUAGAAGAUUGCUCCUUGAGGCACCAAGAAAACCUGCACAGUCACUGUAUAAUACACAAGCGUACACUUCUUCUGCCGGCUGAAUAAAUAAUGUGCCUCACACAUCUCAGAGUAUUGCUACUUCUCAAAUGUAUGUGG